rnacentral:tRNA from 1 species
GCCCGUGUGGAUUAAUCGGACCGCGCAUUGGACUCUCAAUCCAGAGGUCGCCGGUUCGAAUCCCGCUGCGGGCG